UGGCUGAGUGGUUAAGCAUUUGGCUGCUAACCUAAAGGUUGGUGGUUCAACACCACC
rnacentral:tRNA from 1 species